GAUGAGAACGUAGCGAAAUGCGAUAAGUAAUGUGAAUUGCAGAAUUCCGUGAAUCAUCGAAUCUUUGAACGCACAUUGCGCCCCCUGGCAUUCCGGGGGGCAUGCCUGUCCGAGCGUCAUUUCUGCCCUCAAGCACGGCUUGUGUGUUGGGUGUGGUCCCCCCGGGGACCUGCCCGAAAGGCAGCGGCGACGUCCGUCUGGUCCUCGAGCGUAUGGGGCUCUGUCACUCGCUCGGGAAGGACCUGCGGGGGUUGGUCACCACUAUAUUUUACCACGGUUGACCUCGGAUCAGGUAGGAGUUACCCGCUGAACUUAAGCAUAUCAAUAAGCGGAGGA
rnacentral:misc_RNA from 1 species